GCCUGUUUAUCAAAAACAUGGCUUUUUGAUUAUAAUUUAAAGUUUGACCUGCCCAAUGAAAUUUGAAUGGCCGCAGUAUAUUGACUGUGCAAAGGUAGCAUAAUAAUUAGUUUUUUAAUUGGAAACUGGUAUGAAUGGUUGGACGAGAAAAAGACUGUCUCUAUUUAAUUUAAUUAGAAUUUUAUUUUUAAGUUAAAAAGCUUAAAUAUAUUUAAAAGACGAGAAGACCCUAUAGAGUUUUAUAUAAUUUAUAUAUUAUAAUUUAAAGUAUUAAAAUUAAAAUAUUAAAAUUGUAUUUAGUUGGGGUGACUAAAAAAUUUAAUAAACUUUUUUUUUAUUAAAACAUUGAUAUAUGAAUAUGUGAUCCAUUAUUUAUGAUUAAAAGAUUAAAUUACCUUAGGGAUAACAGCGUAAUUUUUUUUGAGAGUUCUUAUCGAAAAAAAAGAUUGCGACCUCGAUGUUGGAUUAAAAUUAACUUUUGGUGUAGAAGCUAAAAAAGUUAGGUCUGUUCGACCUUUAAAAUUUUACAUGAUCUGAGUUCAGACCGG
rnacentral:rRNA from 1 species